rnacentral:ncRNA from 10 species
CCAAUACAUCAAGAGAGAGAUUAAGUUCUCCUCCAACCUGCCAACUCCGGCAAGGUGGAAAAAAAUGAUGUGGUUAACCAACAAACAUUGGAGUACAA